CCUACGGGUGGCUGCAGUGGGGAAUAUUGGGCAAUGGGCGCAAGCCUGACCCAGCAACGCCGCGUGAAGGAAGAAGGCUUUCGGGUUGUAAACUUCUUUUCUCAGGGACGAAGCAAGUGACGGUACCUGAGGAAUAAGCCACGGCUAACUACGUGCCAGCAGCCGCGGUAAUACGGAGGUGGCAAGCGUUAUCCGGAUUUACUGGGUGUAAAGGGCGUGUAGGCGGGACUGCAAGUCAGAUGUGAAAACCACGGGCUGCAACUGUGGCCUGCAUUUGAAACUGGAGUUCUUGAGUACUGGAGAGGCAGGCGGAAUUCCUAGUGUAGCGGUGAAAUGCGUAGAUAUUAGGAGGAACCCCAGUGGCGAAGGCGGUCUGCUGGACAGCAACUGACGCUGAGGCGCGAAAGCGUGGGGAGCAAACAGGAUUAGAUACCCGUGUAGUC
rnacentral:rRNA from 1 species